GACGAACGCUGGCGGCGUGCUUAACACAUGCAAGUCGAACGGAAAGGCCCUGCUUGCAGGGUACUCGAGUGGCGAACGGGUGAGUAACACGUGGGUGAUCUGCCCUGCACUUCGGGAUAAGCUUGGGAAACUGGGCCUAAUACCGGAUAGGAGCCAUCUUUAGUGUGGUGGUUGGAAAGUUUUUUCGGUGUAGGAUGAGCUCGCGGCCUAUCAGCUUGUUGGUGGGGUAAUGGCCUACCAAGGCGGCGACGGGUAGCCGGCCUGAGAGGGUGUACGGCCACAUUGGGACUGAGAUACGGCCCAGACUCCUACGGGAGGCAGCAGUGGGGAAUAUUGCACAAUGGGCGCAAGCCUGAUGCAGCGACGCCGCGUGGGGGAUGAAGGCCUUCGGGUUGUAAACUCCUUUCGCUAGGGACGAAGCUUUUUUGUGACGGUACCUAGAUAAGAAGCACCGGCUAACUACGUG
rnacentral:rRNA from 1 species